rnacentral:lncRNA from 1 species
GAUGUUAAACUGGGUUGUCAAAGUCGUACCCCAACCACCUGAGCCGCCGUCCAAAAUCGCAGAGGGUCCGAAGGGCGGCAAACAAAGUGCUGCCCCCCCUGUCGCCGAAGCUCCGCCUCCUCCUCCUCAGGAGAAGAAAGUGAAGUUUCAAGAUGAAUGCAAAAACGAAGCUUCAAAGGCUGAGAAUUCAAAGCAGGAGAACCAAGCAGCGGCAGGAAACGGUCCUGCGCCUGGGGUGCUGACCUGGAUCAGCAGCUCUCUUCCACAUCCUGCAGCCUCACCAAGCCUGAACAGAGCAAUCCCCGCCCACUCCACCAAGGAGGAGGCUGCAGCGCUCAGAAAGGGGAUGAUGGCCUGGAUCUCUCAGGGCUUGGAGAAGGUCGUUCCUCAGCCUGAGCUGAAGAGCAAAGAGCCCACAGCAGCGGAGCAGCCUCAGGUGCGUCAGACAGCGCCUCCUGCAGAAUCUCAGGUCACAGCGAAGGAGGCGGAGAGCGACCAAAGUGAGAAGUUAGGCCCGCCCAGGAUGAUGGAGUGGAUCAAACAUGGAAUCGAGAAGGUGGUUCCUCAUCCGGAGAGUCACUCCACCAACGAGAAGACUGAAGCUAAAGGUGCUUCUACUUCGCUGUUGAGAGUCACUGAUGAUGAUGAUGAUGAUGAUGACCUUCAAUUCCACUCGUGGUGUCUUUUGUUUGUUUCAGUGAUCAAAGUUCUGGCUUCGGCUCCAAAACCUCCCUCAGAGACAGAGCUCACCAAUGAAGCAGAGCAGCAGCCAAAUAUGAUGGGCUGGAUCGUCAGUGGGAUCGGCCGCAUGCUGCCUCAGCCAGUCCUGAAGCCGGACGCAGGAAGUGACGAGGUGCAGACGAUCAGCAUCACUCAGAAGAACACAGACCUGCUGCUUGAGGACGUGGAAGAAGAUGAAGCCAAGAAGGGGAAAGAGGAGCCCAAGCCGAGAGGCAGUCAGCCGCCGUCCAAAAAGACCGACGAUGCAGAGACGCAGGUGGAUCAGCUGACUCCUCUGGUGGACAGCAUCAAGAGAGAAGCUGGGGAGGCGGUCCUCGCUCAUAUGGAGGAGAGGCUGCAGCAGGAGCGUCUGGAGGCCGCUCGAGUUGCAGAGGAGAUGGCCAGGAAAGCAGCUGAAGAGGCCGUUCGACAGCUGGAAGUCGAGCAUUCGGCAAAGAUUGUCAUUGAAACGCUUCCGGAGUCCAAUGACCAGUGA